rnacentral:tRNA from 1 species
CCUCCGAUAGCUCAGUCGGUAGAGCGACGGGUCAAAAUUAACGACAUUUGCAGUCGCUGUUGAUUUCGAAACCCGUAGGCGCUGGUUCGAGUCCAGCCCGGAGGA